UUUUUAUGCUAGUGUGCUAUGACGUCAAUAUUUUCGUUCCUCCUCUGUGACGUAGUAACUGCCGCGCUAGCGAUGGGUCUCGACUACGAGAAGGAGUUUUUAAUGACUUUUUGGAGCUGAAUUAAAAUUAUUUUGAUAUGUUUGCAGCGUCCAACACCUCGUUCUGGGUGUCCUUGCAUACAGAAGCAGCCUACAACAUGCUUUCUAUAGCUUCAAAAUUUGGUGUCCCAACCCCUUUAAUUGUCUUUAAUAUUAAAGAAUUUCACACCAGAACUUCAACAAUCAAGGGCGUGUUAUUGUUUUCCAUACAGGGCGCGCACACGACGCCUGGAAACCAUUCUAUGCUCGCGCAGCAGCAGGAGCGAAAUGCCGGUGUUGCACAGCGGUUUCUUUAUUCUAUGCAGCGGUGUCACAGAGCCACCGCGCUGCGACCACUUCGGCGGCACAAUCCAAAUUUGUCGGACAUCUCAUUCUGUGCUGGAAACACUGGGAGGCAGGAAGUUUGAAAAAAACGGCCACUCCCGCCCGCAAUGUCUCGGUCGUGGGUUCGUUAUGCCAGUUGUUCAAGCCGUUCUGUACAUUUAUACUGGAUAUUAACUGGAGUCAUUUAGCUGUGCUGAUGCUGUUUGCCGUGUGUUUUGCAUCAGUGCUUCGUGACAUCGGCUGUAUUGCGUGUUUUCGCCGACGGCUUACUACCACAAUGGCGGGAUCUGCGUUCGCCGCCUUCGUGUCUCGGUGCGUCUUUGUACGUCGCACGUUCGGAUAACACUUUUUCCGACGGCUGGACAUCCUUCUUGUACCUUGGCGCUAGCUGGAUGACGGGACCUCAUCAUGAUCAGUGUAUUGCUUUCCUAUGUCUACAAGAACCGUCAUGGGUGGCCUGUGACAGCAAGCUUUUGUGGGCAGCCAGUGCUCUCCUACGAAGGCUGGCCUACUCUGGCAGUGGCGGCAAUCAUCUUCAAGAUUUAUCGAUGAUCACCUUUGCUGCUAUUUGUCACUCUUCUUAAUUACACUUUCUGCAUCUUUUCUAAUCUAUUAAGUAAUAAAG